AACGUAGGAGACAAACGUUAUCCGGAGUUACUGGGCGUAAAGGGCGUGUAGGUGGUUGUGUAAGUCUGGCGUGAAAUUUUUCGGCUUAACCGGGAAAGGUCGUCGGAUACUGCAGAACUAGAGGACGGUAGAGGCGUGUGGAAUUCCGGGUGUAGUGGUGAAAUGCGUAGAGAUCCGGAGGAACACCAGUGGCGAAGGCGACACGCUGGGCCGUACCUGACACUGAUGCGCGAAAGCCAGGGGAGCAAACGGG
rnacentral:rRNA from 1 species